UGGGUCCUUGGAUGGCUUGUUUUGACCCAAGGCGUCCGUCGGCAAUCGUCGAGAAGUGGGUUGAAAAAAACCAAAGCAAGAAAAUCAGUAAACCCAAAUAUUACUAGUUUAGAGUAGUAUGAUUUCUUGUUUUCUAUAAAUCAACAGAUAUUCACUACCUCGCUACGCCAUUUAACAGUUGAAACUACACGAAUUAGCGUAGCUAGCGAGCUAGUUCCCAAUGCUUUAUUUGGAGACAUUGUUUUCUACACAAGGAAGGCCUUGGGGAUCCGCGGACUGAAUAAGACAGCUAACCCGCUAGCGUGCUGCUUAACCCGUAGUGGAGAUCGCGGUCGAGACAUUGGGUUGUGGUAUCAGACUACAGCAGUGAGAGACGCCCCAAGUCUCUCUGUUUUGGCCCUGUCUUGCCCCCCUGUCUCACCCCCCUGUCCUCCCCAUGAUGGUGUGUGAGCUCUUCCUGUUGUCCUCCGUGUGGUUCCUCUUUGUCAUCUUCUGGAUGGAGACCAUAAGUGUCUGGCUCUUUCUCUGCAACUUCUACCAGGACCGGGCCUUCUACCACUGGGGAGAUGGGGUCUUUGCUGAUGACCCUGGUCACAUGCUGUACAUGCUGGGCAGAGUGGAGGGAUCAGGGCGGAUGCAGACCUGAGGAGGGCGGAGGAGGAAGAGGAGGAGAAGGAGGAGGAAGAGGAGGAGGAGGACUGUAGAGGACC